rnacentral:rRNA from 1 species
GAUGAACGCUGGCGGCGUGCUUAACACAUGCAAGUCGAGCGAGAAGUUUUGAAAAGAUUCUUCGGAUCGAAUUUAAAAUGGAAAGCGGCGGACGGGUGAGUAACGCGUAGGCAACCUGCCCCAUACAAAGGGAUAGCAUUUGGAAACGAAUAUUAAUACCUUAUGAAACUUAACUAGUGCAUGCUAGGUAGGUCAAAGAUUUAUCGGUAUGGGAUGGGCCUGCGUCUGAUUAGCUAGUUGGUGAGGUAACGGCUCACCAAGGCGACGAUCAGUAGCCGACCUGAGAGGGUGAACGGCCACAUUGGAACUGAGACACGGUCCAAACUCCUACGGGAGGCAGCAGUGGGGAAUAUUGCACAAUGGGGGAAACCCUGAUGCAGCAACGCCGCGUGAACGAUGAAGGCCUUUGGGUCGUAAAGUUCUGUUCUAGGUGAUGAAAACUGACAGUAACCUAGGAGAAAGCCCCGGCUAACUCCGUG